rnacentral:tRNA from 1 species
AGUCGUAGCUCAGCUGGAUAGAGCAUCCGCCUUCUAAGCGGACGGUCAAAGGUUCGAAUCCUUUCGACUG